UUUCUACUCCCUCCGUCCGAAAAUACUUGUCAUCAAAAUGGAUAAAAAGAGAUGUAUCUAAAACUAAAAUACAUCUAGAUACAUUUCCUUUUAUCCAUUUUGAUGACAAGUAUUUUUGGACGGAGGGAGUAUUUG
rnacentral:pre_miRNA from 1 species